GAGUUUGAUCAUGGCUCAGGACGAACGCUGGCGGCGUGCCUAAUACAUGCAAGUCGUGCGGACCUUUUAAAAGCUUGCUUUUAAAAGGUUAGCGGCGGACGGGUGAGUAACACGUGGGCAACCUGCCUGUAAGAUCGGGAUAACGCCGGGAAACCGGGGCUAAUACCGGAUAGUUUUUUCCUCCGCAUGGAGGAAAAAGGAAAGACGGCUUCGGCUGUCACUUACAGAUGGGCCCGCGGCGCAUUAGCUAGUUGGUGGGGUAACGGCUCACCAAGGCCACGAUGCGUAGCCGACCUGAGAGGGUGAUCGGCCACAUUGGGACUGAGACACGGCCCAAACUCCUACGGGAGGCAGCAGUAGGGAAUCUUCCGCAAUGGACGAAAGUCUGACGGAGCAACGCCGCGUGAGUGAAGAAGGCCUUCGGGUCGUAAAACUCUGUUGCCGGGGAAGAACAAGUGCCGUUCGAACAGGGCGGCGCCUUGACGGUACCCGGCCAGAAAGCCACGGCUAACUACGUGCCAGCAGCCGCGGUA
rnacentral:rRNA from 1 species